rnacentral:rRNA from 1 species
GAUGAACGCUGGCGGCGUGCCUAACACAUGCAAGUCGAACGGAGUCCAGCCUUUAAGACCUUCGGGUCAAAGGGGGGGAGACUGAGUGGCGGACGGGUGAGUAACACGUGGGCAACCUGGCUCAUAGAGGGGGAUAACAGAGAGAAAUUUCUGCUAAUACCGCAUAAGCACACACUGCCGCAUGGCAGAGGGUGAAAAGAGAAUCGCUAUGAGAUGGACCCGCGUCUGAUUAGCCAGUUGGCAGGGUAAGAGCCUACCAAAGCGACGAUCAGUAGCCGAUCUGAGAGGAUGAACGGCCACAUUGGGACUGAGACACGGCCCAAACUCCUACGGGAGGCAGCAGUGGGGGAUAUUGCACAAUGGGGGGAACCCUGAUGCAGCGACGCCGCGUGAGUGAAGAAGUAUUUCGGUAUGUAAAGCUCUAUCAGCAGGGAAGAUAAUGACAGUACCUGAAUAAGAAGCCCCGGCUAACUACGUG